rnacentral:lncRNA from 1 species
AUGGAACACAGCCUAAUUCGGAGUUUACAAUGUCUGUGCCCUGCCACUGGCACUGGACCCCCGGUGGGGCGACAGGUCUGCAGCGGCCUGGCCCACCCUGGCUGCCCCGAUGAUCUGCUGGGCCCGAGGGCUGCAAGAACUAGUUCCCCCGGCUCCGCUCGGCUCACUCCCUCUCCGGCUCUUGAGGGGCUUCCGUCCCACCAACGUUUGGCACCAGCAAGGGGCAGGCCCCUGAGGCGCGGGGACACGUGCGGGACCCUCACGGCCUGUGCCCGCGGAGCGGAGUGCGGGACCUCGCACCGCCAGCCACCCCGCGCUCCCCAGCACCGAGGCGCAAGAACCCACACUUACCCGGUGCCGGUGCUCUCUUCCAGCCCUGGGGGCAGGGGCAAAGCGCGGUCGCAGGAGACGACCUGGGACACACAGAGGCUGCCUUUCCCGGGGCGUCCCCUGGCCCCUCGCCCCUCGCCACCUGCCGGGCCGGCGUGCCGGGCUCCGCGGGCCCCCUCCCCGCCCAGGCUGUCCCCCGCCCCCCGCCCCCCGCAGGCCCGAGACAAGGCUGCCGCCUCCGAGAAGCCCUCCGGGACAACGGCCCCGGGAGACGGCCGGAUUCCCUGCCGGGUGUCGUCCCGGCGCCGCUGCGGCGAGGCGCGUUCUGCGGGGCCGUCGUCCGUCCAGCGGACCAGCGCCGAGCGGCCCGGGGCGCGGGCGGGGAGCAGGCGGGGCCGGGGCGGCGCGGCGUGGGAACCCGGCGCGGGGGGUGGGGGGCAUGGAGCAUGCGCGGCGCGGCGGGAGCGCGGCCCGGCCUCGCGAGUCCCCGCGCGCCCCACGGGGGUCCUGGCCCGACUCCCCGCGCGCGCCCCGGCACCUCUGCUUCCCAUCCGGGCGGCUUCCAGGACUUGGGGCGCAGCGGUCCGCCCGCCGCGGUGCCCCCAGGGGACAGGGGAGGGGCGGCAUUGGCCCAACACCUCCCAUGGGACAGAACCGGGGCCUUUCCGUCCGGCCUGUCGUCUGUGCAGCGGUUCCGGAUCCAUGAGACCCUGCAGGGCACCCAGGAAGACACGGGCGCCCUUAAGCCAGGAGGGCAAAGCUGAGAAAAUGGGGUGCCCUGAGCAGGCACUGGGGAGGGGCCCCGCCCGUGCAGACACGGAGGGAAAGAGAGUAGUGAGAAGAGCUGCAUCCGUCUCCCCUCUGCCGCCCCCCCCCACCCCCCGCCCCACCUUCUGCACGGUGAGCCCUUGGGGUAUCCUUUUUCCAACAGGUCACCAUUCAGGUGGCAGAACCAGGAUUGAAAUGCACGGCCUACCCGGGACACGCGCCACCCCCCCACCCACCCCGCCCCAGAAUGAAUUCCUGGAGAUCAGGACUGUGAGAAAGGAGGUCAAAGAAAAGCAACAGGAAGACGCAGCUUACUGUGGGGCUCCCCCUUGUUUCACCCAGUCCCAGGGUGGGGGUCGGGGUGGUGGGAAUUGA